UACGUAGGGGGCAAGCGUUGUCCGGAAUCAUUGGGCGUAAAGAGCGUGUAGGCGGUUCGGUAAGUCGGCUGUGAAAACUCGAGGCUCAACCUCGAGACGUCGGCGGAAACCAUCUGGCUAGAGUCCGGAAGAGGAGAGUGGAACUUCCGUGGUGUAGCGGUGAAAUGCGCAGAUAUCAGGAAGAACACCCGUGGCGAAGGCGGUUCUCUGGGACGGUACUGACGCUGAGACGCGAAAGCGUGGGGAGCGAACAGG
rnacentral:rRNA from 1 species